AUAUGGGAAGUUAAUAAAAUCAUUAUUUAAUUGUUGCCAAUGUCAAAAUUAUUCUAAAUUGUUCUUUAAAUGAGCAAAAUGUAGGAUUUUAUAUAUUAUAGGGAAAUGUCGGAACAUUACAUAACCCGUUUCGGAAAGAUUAAUAAAAAAUUAAAUUGCAACAAUAACUAACUCAAUUUUUUCAUAAUAAAACUAUUGCAGUUUACAUUUAUCAUUAUUAAUCAGUAAGUUCAGGUUCUAAUGUAUGAUUAUGUAAUGAUGGGAUUGGUCCAUAUUUAUUAGUGGUGCAAGCUAAUAUAUGAUUAUUUUCAGAAACUCGGAAAAUAGGAAAUGGAAUGAUUAACAAGAGAUUUACGGAUUAGCUUACCCCCAGUUGUAUAUGACAGGUCAGUAAUUACCACAAGUAUUCUGAUGCACUAGGAUCAUGGCAGACACAAAUUUAAAUUUUGUUACGGAGCAGGACGAUAGCUGGGUGUAGAGCUCGCGGUUGCCACGGUGACGACCGUGAAAGCGUAGGUCUAGGACAGCCUCCCGCCUACGUACCCUGCGAAAAGCGCCUACCACGGGGAUUCCCAUUUCAAUAAAGACGGCACCCAUGGUUGCUUAGGGUGGUUCCGUUUAAUAAUUAUUUUAACAUACUUACUACCCAUCCUAGGAACUCACGUGUCCAAACUUUAAUCAUUGUAAAAGUGGUCACCGCUGAAAUUAUGUCAUCCCCAUGAUAAUUGUGUUAUUAGAUCACUUUGCAAGGCACGGCAGAGGUGGUUGCACCAGGCGACUAAACGAAACAUGCUAAUUCCUGUAAUUAAUUUACUGGAAGAUUCUCGGUAUACGCAUCCACCUAUGUGACACCCUUUGGAUUUUUGAAAAUUCCUACAGAUCCAUUUUGGAUAAUCGUCGCUUUUAUGAUUCAAGAAUUAAACGAUGGGCAAAGAAUACAGUCUCGCAAAAUCUAGUCAAAAAGUGAUCUAAUCUCUACAGUUGUGAGAGAUACAUGUUAUGUCCGAUUAGCCUUAAUAAAAUCAUUAAAGAGUUUAGAGUUUUCUAGAAUGGAAAAAAAGAUAUGAAUAAGUGGUUUCUUCAUCAAUAAAAUAAAAAUAUAAGUGGCGAAAUAAUUAUGAAAAACCAAAUUUAAUCAUUCGCAAGUAAGUGGAAAUGAUAAACAAUUUACAGUGAGUGACGGCUAACAGAUGGCUACAAGAAUUUGAAAUUCGGUUUUUAUAAAUUUCUACGGAAAAAUUAUCCCAUGAACCAGAACUGUCUUUUAAUGAAUAUGUAUCAUACCUAUUACUGUUUUAUAUUUUUAUGUAUGUUUAUAUUGCUAAUGAUAGAAAUUACCACAUAUUA